UACGAAGGGGGCUAGCGUUGUUCGGAAUUACUGGGCGUAAAGCGCACGUAGGCGGAUAUUUAAGUCAGGGGGUGAAAUCCCAGAGCUCAACUCUGGAACUGCCUUUGAUACUGGGUAUCUUGAGUAUGGAAGAGGUAAGUGGAAUUCCGGAGUGAUAGAGGUGAAAUUUCGUAGAUAUUCGGAGGAACACCAGUGGCGAAGGCGGCUUACUGGUCCAUUACUGACGCUGAGGUGCGAAAGGCGUGGGGGAGCAAACAGG
rnacentral:rRNA from 1 species